UUACACACAGUGUUUUUUGUUAUUACAAGAACUUUUGCUUUGGUCUGGACUAGAAAUAGUUUGGGCCAGAGGUUUACUGAACUAAACUUCAAUAUUUAUAUUGAAUUGUUAUUUAUUUAAUUGUCAAUUUGUUGAUUAAAUUCAAAAAAUCUUCAAAACUUUCAACAACGGAUCUCUUGGUUCUCGCAUCGAUGAAGAACGCAGCGAAAUGCGAUAAGUAAUAUGAAUUGCAGAUUUUCGUGAAUCAUCGAAUCUUUGAACGCACAUUGCGCCCUCUGGUAUUCCAGAGGGCAUGCCUGUUUGAGCGUCAUUUCUCUCUCAAACCUUCGGGUUUGGUAUUGAGUGAUACUCUUAGUCGAACUAGGCGUUUGCUUGAAAUGUAUUGGCAUGAGUGGUACUGGAUAGUGCUAUAUGACUUUCAAUGUAUUAGGUUUAUCCAACUCGUUGAAUAGUUUAAUGGUAUAUUUCUCGGUAUUCUAGGCUCGGCCUUACAAUAUAACAAACAAGUUUGACCUCAAAUCAGGUAGGACUACCCGCUGAACUUAAGCAUAUCAAUAA
rnacentral:rRNA from 1 species